rnacentral:lncRNA from 1 species
CUGAGUGCGGCCGUCUGGCAGACAGGUAUGAGCAGGACUGGGAGGGAUGUGAGGUGGGGAGGCGGCUUUGCCAGCCUGGAGGUGUUGAUACCUGGCUUCUCCUCUGAAUUGAGUAUCACCUGGGGCUUCCCUAAACCACUAGCCCUUCCUGGAGACCCGGAAGCAGUGACACACACAGUAAGCUCUUGAAAAAGAUCAAAUGCUGUCCUCCUGGCAUUUCCAGGCUGAAAAGAGGCCCAAAAACUGAGUGUCCACUAUGACAUCAGCAGCUCACACUGGAACAGUCCUUUCAGACCAUUUCAUAAGUGAAGCCCAAGCCAGAAACACCUGCCAACAUCUGUUCCCCUGCUUCUGUGCACCUUCUGCGCCUGCCCAGCAAGCUUGUGUUGGUUGAAUGAAUUCACGGGACGGAAUGAGGUCAUCACAGUGAAUGGGGGAAGUGAUCAGGUUACACACCCACACUUACACAUCGGGGGAUCCAGAGCCAAGGGAAGGCUGGGCUUGGCCCUGCGCUGGCAGGACUGCACAGCACUGAGACCAAGGAAGCCCGAUGCAGGUGGAAGCCUCAGCCCUGACAGCUGAGCACAGGCAUUUGGGCCAGGUCCAGGGCUCCCAUGAGCAGCACAAGGCUAGCAGAUGAUCAAGUUAGCCCUCAACUGCAGGCAGGAGCAAGGCUUGGACCAGGAGGCACUCAGCCUCAGGAAGAUGUUUUAUCGGCCCAUUAUGUGCACCAGUGCUUAAAACAGACCUUCGGGUCCAAGCCUGCUUUGUACUCAGCAGCUGAAGAUCCCCUCUGGGAAUAAUAUGUGGCUAUAUGCAGCUAUGCAAAGCAGCCCCAGUGACAUUGCUUUUGUAGCCAGGACUUGGGUACUCAACCUCUACAACUCUUUCAAAGUUGACCCAACAGUUCAAGGCCUGUGGAGGAAACCUGGAUUUGCCUGUGCUUUGCAUUUCCUCUGCAAAGUUUCUCUCUUUUGAACUCAAAGAAGUUCCCGCUUUCCCUCAGUGCCGCUUUAUGGCAAUAAAAUGACUUCUGAAAAUCAACCAGAAGCUUCUAGCAAACUAUCCAGAUUUUGAAAUCUGGCCGUUUCUAUUGCAUGGGCUUCCAUUGUGUGACACAUGCAAGACAGUUUCUAAAAUUUUAUUUUGAUGCCACAC